rnacentral:rRNA from 1 species
UAGGGAAUCUUCGGCAAUGGGGGGAACCCUGACCGAGCAACGCCGCGUGAGUGGAGAAGGGUUUCGGAUCGUAAAGCUCUGUUGUUAAGGAAGAACGAGAGUGAGAAUGGAAAGUUCAUGCUGUGACGGUACUUAACCAGAAAGGGACGGCUAACUACGUGCCAGCAGCCGCGGUAAUACGUAGGUCCCGAGCGUUGUCCGGAUUUAUUGGGCGUAAAGCGAGCGCAGGCGGUUAGGAAAGUCUGAAGUGAAAGGCAGUGGCUCAACCAUUGUAGGCUUUGGAAACUGUUUAACUUGAGUGCAGAAGGGGAGAGUGGAAUUCCAUGUUUAGCGGUGAAAUGCGUAGAUAUAUGGAGGAACACCGGUGGCGAAAGCGGCUCUCUGGUCUGUAACUGACGCUGAGGCUCGAAAGCGUGGGGGGCGAACAGG